AUCGGUAAGAGAUCAGCUUGUACAGUAUCAGUUAGUUGGUGGGGUAAUGGCUUACCAAGACUAUGACGCUUAACUGGUUUGAGAGGAUGAUCAGUCACACUGGAACUGAGACACGGUCCAGACUCCUACGGGAGGCAGCAGUGGGGAAUAUUGCACAAUGGACGAAAGUCUGAUGCAGCAACGCCGCGUGGAGGAUGACACAUUUCGGUGCGUAAACUCCUUUUAUAUGAGAAGAUAAUGACGGUAUCAUAUGAAUAAGCACCGGCUAACUCCGUGCCAGCAGCCGCGGUAAUACGGGGGGUGCAAGCGUUACUCGGAAUCACUGGGCGUAAAGAGCAUGUAGGCGGAUUGAUAAGUUUGAAGUGAAAUCCUAUAGCUUAACUAUAGAACUGCUUUGAAAACUGUUAAUCUAGAAUGUGGGAGAGGUAGAUGGAAUUUCUGGUGUAGGGGUAAAAUCCGUAGAGAUCAGAAGGAAUACCGAUUGCGAAGGCGAUCUACUGGAACACUAUUGACGCUGAGAUGCGAAAGCGUGGGGAGCAAACGGGAUUAGAUACCCCGGUAGUCCACGCCCUAAACGAUGCACACUAGUUGUUGUGAGGCUAGACCUUGCAGUAAUGCAGUUAACACAUUAAGUGUG
rnacentral:rRNA from 1 species